AAGUCGUAACAAGGUUUCCGUAGGUGAACCUGCGGAAGGAUCAUUAACACAAAAUCCACGGUGUCCAAAAUCCUUUUGGACAUUUCACCCCCUCAUUUAGCGAACCGUUUGGCCGUUGAGAGAGCGAGAUUCUCUGCUACCGACUUGCACUCUUUUUGUAAAAAGAGUGUUUAGCAAGGGGCGAGAAGGAAAGCGUUAUAGGGUGUUUUCGAAAGAAGACAUGGGCGCUUUCUGCUGCGUUUAUUCGCACUUUUUCUCUUUCAAUGUGCUCUUUUUCUUCUAAUUAACCAAACUUUUUCACCCCAUUGAAACUUUUGUAAUGAAAAUGGUCCACGAAUCGAAAGGUUUGUCGGAUUCCAAAGAAAAAACGCUUAAAACAACUCUUAGCAACGGAUAUCUUGGCUCUC
rnacentral:misc_RNA from 1 species